GAUGAACGCUGGCGGCGUGCCUAAUACAUGCAAGUCGAGCGAAUGGAUUAAGAGCUUGCUCUUAUGAAGUUAGCGGCGGACGGGUGAGUAACACGUGGGUAACCUGCCCAUAAGACUGGGAUAACUCCGGGAAACCGGGGCUAAUACCGGAUAACAUUUUGAACCGCAUGGUUCGAAAUUGAAAGUCGGCUUCGGCUGUCACUUAUGGAUGGACCCGGGUCGCAUUAGCUAGUUGGUGAGGUAACGGCUCACCAAGGCAACGAUGCGUAGCCGCACUGAGAGGGUGAUCGGCCACACUGGGACUGAGACACGGCCCAGACUCCUACGGGAGGCAGCAGUAGGGAAUCUUCCGCAAUGGACGAAAGUCUGACGGAGCAACGCCGCGUGAGUGAUGAAGGCUUUCGGGUCGUAAAACUCUGCUGUUAAGGAAGAACAAGUGCUAGUUGAAUAAGCUGGCACCUUGACGGUACCUAACCAGAAAGCCACGGCUAACUACGUGCCAGCAGCCGCGGUAA
rnacentral:rRNA from 1 species